GACGAACGCUGGCGGCGUGCUUAACACAUGCAAGUCGAACGGAAAGGCCCUGCUUUUGUGGGGUGCUCGAGUGGCGAACGGGUGAGUAACACGUGAGUAACCUGCCCUUGACUUUGGGAUAACUUCAGGAAACUGGGGCUAAUACCGGAUAGGAGCUCCUGCAGCAUGGUGGGGGUUGGAAAGUUUCGGCGGUUGGGGAUGGACUCGCGGCUUAUCAGCUUGUUGGUGGGGUAGUGGCUUACCAAGGCUUUGACGGGUAGCCGGCCUGAGAGGGUGACCGGCCACACUGGGACUGAGAUACGGCCCAGACUCCUACGGGAGGCAGCAGUGGGGAAUAUUGCACAAUGGGCGGAAGCCUGAUGCAGCAACGCCGCGUGCGGGAUGACGGCCUUCGGGUUGUAAACCGCUUUCGCCUGUGACGAAGCGUGAGUGACGGUAAUGGGUAAAGAAGCACCGGCUAACUACGUGCCAGCAGCCGCGGUGAUACGUAGGGUGCGAGCGUUGUCCGGAUUUAUUGGGCGUAAAGGGCUCGUAGGUGGUUGAUCGCGUCGGAAGUGUAAUCUUGGGGCUUAACCCUGAGCGUGCUUUCGAUACGGGUUGACUUGAGGAAGGUAGGGGAGAAUGGAAUUCCUGGUGGAGCGGUGGAAUGCGCAGAUAUCAGGAGGAACACCAGUGGCGAAGGCGGUUCUCUGGGCCUUUCCUGACGCUGAGGAGCGAAAGCGUGGGGAGCGAACAGGCUUAGAUACCCUGGUAGUCCACGCUGUAAACGGUGGGUACUAGGUGUGGGGUCCAUUCCACGGGUUCCGUGCCGUAGCUAACGCUUUAAGUACCCCGCCUGGGGAGUACGGCCGCAAGGCUAAAACUCAAAGGAAUUGACGGGGCCCCGCACAAGCGGCGGAGCAUGCGGAUUAAUUCGAUGCAACGCGUAGAACCUUACCUGGGUUUGACAUGGAUCGGGAGUGCUCAGAGAUGGGUGUGCCUCUUUUGGGGUCGGUUCACAGGUGGUGCAUGGCUGUCGUCAGCUCGUGUCGUGAGAUGUUGGGUUAAGUCCCGCAACGAGCGCAACCCUUGUUCACUGUUGCCAGCACGUUAUGGUGGGGACUCAGUGGAGACCGCCGGGGUCAACUCGGAGGAAGGUGGGGAUGACGUCAAGUCAUCAUGCCCCUUAUGUCCAGGGCUUCACGCAUGCUACAAUGGCUGGUACAGAGAGUGGCGAGCCUGUGAGGGUGAGCGAAUCUCGGAAAGCCGGUCUCAGUUCGGAUUGGGGUCUGCAACUCGACCUCAUGAAGUCGGAGUCGCUAGUAAUCGCAGAUCAGCAACGCUGCGGUGAAUACGUUCCCGGG
rnacentral:rRNA from 1 species